rnacentral:rRNA from 1 species
UACGGAGGAUGCAAGCGUUAUCCGGAAUGAUUGGCGUAAAGCGUCCGCAGGUGGCUAUGUAAGUCUGCUGUUAAAGAGUGAGGCUCAACCUCAUAAGAGCAGUGGAAACUACAUGGCUAGAGUGCGUUCGGGGCAGAGGGAAUUCCUGGUGUAGCGGUGAAAUGCGUAGAGAUCAGGAAGAACACCGGUGGCGAAAGCGCUCUGCUAGGCCGCAACUGACACUGAGGGACGAAAGCUAGGGGAGCGAAUGGG